GGUGAACGCUGGCGGUAUGCCUAAUACAUGCAAGUCGAGCGAACAGAUGAUGAGCUUGCUCCUCUGACGUUAGCGGCGGACGGGUGAGUAACACGUGGAUAACCUACCUCUUAGACUGGGAGAACUUCGUGAAACCGGAUCUGAUACCGGCUAAUAUAUUUAACAGCAUGAUUCAAUAGUUAUAGACGGUUGUGCUGUCACUUAUAGAUGGAUCCGCGCCGCAUUAGCUAGUUGGUAAGGUAACGGCUUACCAAGGCAACGAUGCGUAGCCGACCUGAGAGGGUGAUCGGCCACACUGGAACUGAGACACGGUCCAGACUCCUACGGGAGGCAGCAGUAGGGAAUAUUGCGCAAUGGGCGCAAGCCUGAUGGAGCCACGCCGCGUGAGUGAUGAAGGCCUUCGGAUCGUAAAACUCUGUUAUUAGGGAAGAAAAACUGCGUAAGUAACUACGCCCGUCUUGACGGUACCUAAUCAGAAAGCCACGGCUAACUUCGUG
rnacentral:rRNA from 1 species